AUAUGAAGCUUUUUCUUUAUGAAAGGAGUUGCUUGAACUUCAAACACUUUUUCACAUUAGUAGGAAAAAAAUAAUUGCUGGAAUGAAGGGUUACUCCAAAGACAAAAUCUAAGACUGGCGAUUGUACAAUGCACGAAGAUCAGGAGAAACGAAGUGUCCCCCUUAUCAGACUACAUAGGUCCAUCCUAUCUGGCUGAUCUACAGUCUACCGUCUGCAUUAACUCUGGGGCUCCUGUAUCCUUUAUUGCAUAUUGUCUCCACUCUGCUGGAAUUCCUAGAGCUAAUCCAUUAACCACAAUACAUUAACUUCACAUCUUUCUGGUGUAGAGGGAAGGAUAUUGUGAGGGUCUUUCUGUGAAGAGAAACUCUUUCAAAUUUCAAGUCCACUACAUCAUGGAGAGAUCGUAAGUACAAGUGUCUCUUGACACAGUGCAAAAGUUCAGGGACAAGCAAAAAAGACUGAGCUUUUUCAAAUGAAUAGCCUACUUCUGAUGUAAAUUAUAUACCCUUGAAAUAUUGCAUGAGAAUAGUUUUUGAUAGUCU
rnacentral:lncRNA from 1 species